rnacentral:lncRNA from 1 species
UGUUAGAGGUCCUGUGUUUGAAUCCCUGCGCAAGCGUGGGUGUUAUUUUUGAUCAGUUGCAUGAUAGAGUUUCGGUGGAGUUGGAAUUCAGAGGUAGUUAAAAUUGAGUUGUUAGUGGGGAGUUGGGAUUUAUGAAAUAUAUUUUAUUUUUAUUUUUUUAAAAAUUUUUUCUCUCUCUUCCAGAAAAUUUUCUGACGUUUCUUUUCCUCUUUCUUUGGUUCACUGCCAAUUUUUCUUUGUUCUAUUCUUUUCUGAUUUUAUCACAUUAUCUUUUACGCAAUUCGUCAUGUCGCGAUAUUUCAGUGUUCUUUGUGCCUUUCUGGUAAG